GUGGGGAAUAUUGGGCAAUGGGGGCAACCCUGACCCAGCGACGCCGCGUGAGGGAAGAAGGCCUUAGGGUCGUAAACCUCUGUUGUGUGGGAAGAAGGAAGUGACGGUACCACACGAGGAAGUCCCGGCUAACUACGUGCCAGCAGCCGCGGUAAUACGUAGGGGACGAGCGUUGUCCGGACUUACUGGGCGUAAAGGGCGCGUAGGCGGUCAUUUAAGUCAGCUGUGAAAUGGUCCGGCUCAACCGGAUCAUGCGGUUGAAAGUGGAUGACUGGAGUGCUGGAGAGGCAAGAGGAAUUCCCAGUGUAGCGGUGAAAUGCGUAGAUAUUGGGAAGAACACCGGUGGCGAAGGCGACUUGCUGGCCAGCAACUGACGCUGAGGCGCGAAAGCCAGGGGAGCAAACGGGAUUAGAAACCCCAGUAGUCC
rnacentral:rRNA from 1 species